rnacentral:rRNA from 1 species
GAUGAACGCUGGCGGCGUGCCUAACACAUGCAAGUAGAACGCUGAAGGAGGAGCUUGUUCUUCUGGAUGAGUUGCGAACGGGUGAGUAACCCGUAGGUAACCUGCCUGGUAGCGGGGGAUAACUAUUGGAAACGAUAGCUAAUACCGCAUUACAACAGUUAUUGCAUGAUAAUUUUUUAAAAGGGGCAUCUGCUCCACUACUAGAUGGACCUGCGUUGUAUUAGCUAGUUGGUGAGGUAACGGCUCACCAAGGCGACGAUACAUAGCCGACCUGGGAGGGAGGACGGCCACACUGGGAGUGGGAAACGGGCCAGGCUCCUACGGGGAGCAGCAGUAGGGAAUCUUCGGCAAUGGAGGGAAGUCUGACCGAAGAACGCCGCGGGAGUGAAGAAAGGUUUCGGAUCGGAAAGGUCUGUUGUAAGGGGAGAAAGAGUGUGAGAGUGGAAAGUUCACGCUGUGACGGUAUCUUACCAAAAAGGAACGGCUAACUACGUG